rnacentral:lncRNA from 1 species
CAGGCUUUGCCAGCCCAGCAGGAGGAACAAGCGCACACAAUAAUCAACAGGGCGAAGAAAAUCGGCUAACGUAAUUGGUUAAUUUGGUUUCAGAUUUCAAAUGGACUAUUCUAGUAUCUGACAUUCUGGUUCAACAGGUUAUGGACCUGGUUUUAAUUGUAUUGUUUAAAAGAAUGUCAAUAAGUUCUAGAUUUCUAAAACGAGUCUCAAUAGCCGCCGAAUCCAUUCCCACCGAAUCCGGCAUUGGUAAAAAAAAGUAUACCUUCGCUAUGAGCUUCAAUUCGGCACGAAAACCAGGAUGAACUGGUGAUUAAAGAAAAUAUCAAGUAAAGCUUGAAAGCGAGUGGAGAAUGCAAAUAGAAAUCGAUUGAUUUCUACAAGAAAUUCCGGGGUUAAAUCGCGACCAUCAAUGAAGAUCGAUCGCCAAUAAAAUACAGCAAAGGGCAAGAAUAAACGAAAAUUGGGUAAAGAGUGGAGAGGAAGAACCGAAAUCUGUGAUUGCGGAAAGAAUGGAGAUCGACGCUAGGGUUUCAUCUGUUCAUCUUCUCCUCGGCGUCUCCCUCCCUGGCGAGCCUGUGAUCCCAAAGAACGAGUCGAGUUUGUUUUUCUCUCUUUUUUUUACGAGAUUUACCAAAUACAUCACCAUUUACUAAUAAAUUAAUAAUGCAGGUGAAAUUAGUGAGUGCGUAUAUUUAUCUUCCAAAAUAAAUUUUCAUUUGUAAAUAAUAUUGACUAAUAAUCAUAUCCAUCGUCUCCCCCCUUGCCGUUCCCCUUCCCCCUUCCCCCUUGCCGUUCCCCCUUUCCCCUUGCCAAGCGAUCUUCCUAGCGAUUUUCCCCUUGCCCCCCCCCCCCGAAAUCCCUAGCGAUUUCCCCCCUUGCAGGUAAAUCCCUAGCGAAGAGAAGGUCGCUCGUUCGCCCUCCAGCGAACGAGCGAGCUAACGCAAUUAGCGAGUGAAUCACGCGAAGUAGAAGCAUCCGUUUGAUCGCAAGUCGAAGGGAAAGUUGCCUGACCGCGAGCGAAGGCAUGUCAGC